CAGAACUAAGGUGGGCAGGAGGAGAAAGAGGGCAGCCGAGCGGUUGUGGUUGUUUGGCAAAGCUAGCCGUGAGGAAUGGGCAAAUUGGAAGUGAGCCCUGCAGCAGCUGAUCUUGGAGCUAAACCGGGAGCAGUCGGAGUCAGGCCCAGCUCUCAAGAAGAAGGCUGGCACACCCGUGGCUCCUUGAGUCCUCUCGGAGAAGCCAGGGAGGUGGUAAAGAACCCCCGAGCUUGCCAAGGGAAAAAGCAGAGAAAACAAACCUGGCCAAGACCCUUAGAGUGAAUCAACACUGAACUGGGCUGCAAAGAGCACAGGGAGCAGAUCUGACCUUCAAAGGCUGUCCCCUAGCGAGCCCUUCCUCUAGCCAAGCUCCAAGGCCUUCAGCACAGCGCCGGAAGCUUCAGAUGAGUGUCUGAACCAUGAGCCUAUGGAAGAAAUUUCAGACUCAGUACAUCAGUUGCUGUCAACCUGAAACAAUCCUUAGGCACAUGAAAUGACCCAGCAAGUAAAACUGGCAUUCUAGAGUAGAUCCCUGGAGCUCAAACGGAAGGACAGACUCCCACAGGCUGUCCUCUGACCUCCACGCAUGCAUCUUCAUCCCCUUCCCCCCACACCCACUAACUAGUAAAAUUAAAUUUAAAAAUGAUCAAUCCAAAGUGGAAUGAUUUGGGACAGCAUGCUCUGUUCCUUUUCAUUCAUACAUUCUACCUCCUUUUUUCUCUUUCUGUCUGAGUUAAAUGGUAAGAGAGUUGUGGCCAGAUAGUAUUUUAUCCAGCUGGGCAGUGGCAGUGCAUGCCUUUAAGCCCAGCAUUUUGGAGGCAGAGGCAGGUGGAUCUCUGUGAGUUUUGAGGCCAAUCUGACCUACAGAUCAAGUUUCAGAACAGCUAAAGCUACACAGAGAAACUUUGUCUCAAAAAAAAAAAAAAAGGAGUUGUAAAUUCUCAACUCUAAUAUUUCUAUUAGAUUAAGAGUAGAGAAUAAUGUCUUUAUUCCUUUUGUAGGUUUUUUUUUGUGACCUAAUUACUAAAAAGCCAAUUAGCUUUUUAAAUACCCUAUAAAUACAUGAAAGUUAUUAAGGUAAUUUCCUGGUUUUCAGCAUAUAAAUCAGAAUACAUAUUAAGCAACUCUUUUAAAUUAUUUUAUGUGGAUUAACCUAUGUGUUUGGCUUAAAGGAAAUAUAAGAUAAUCCUAUUUAUUGAUGUGCUUUUAAUUCUAGUUUUUGUUUUUAACUUGUUAUAUAGUUACAAAUAAAAUUGAAUAAGAUUA
rnacentral:lncRNA from 1 species